AUGUCCCGGGCUGAAGUUCGCACCACUUUCCUAGAGGAUCUUGCAGAGGAUUACCAUGGGGACACUUAUCACUUGAUUGCCAGGAACUGCUACCAUUUCACAGCUGACGUCUGCAAGCACUUCACGGGAAAGCCAACUCCUGGAUGGGUGAAUCGACUUGCCAGAUUAGCACUAUGUUCCAUCCGCAACUCUGUGCUGACUGAAAACAUCAAGGUUUCAGCGGUUAGAGGUGAAACUGCACACCUUGAAUUCUCUGGGCAAUAUUCACAUUAG
rnacentral:rRNA from 1 species